UCAAAACCGCAGCCUCGACCACUGAAUGAUGUCUGGACCUAACAGAUUCUUUCUGAAAGCGCAAGUAGAAGAAAAGCAGACAGCCAAGCCAAGCACAAGGCAGACCCCAGUUUAAGGAAGAAGGGGAAGAGCUCCCCCCCCCUUUUACACUGCCCAGUCGUGUGCCCAGGCUCCAGUACGUCGCACCCAGCCGCGGCUGCCUGACGGGCAGUGAGAUGAAUGGGAAGGGAGAGUUGUUUCCAACACCUAGCGGUGAGAGGGUUGCUCCAGGCUGCAGCUCGCAUUAUUACAGCGCUGCCUUGCUGCACUGCAGAGGCGCCAUCUUCUUGCUCUUAAUCUUCCCCGCCAACCCAUUUCCUUUCCAUCGGCUCCCUAAACGCCCAUCCUAAGAGGAGUCCACCCCCCUCCUUGUAACGCGUGGAGGUGCCUCUGAAAAACACGCGCGGCCAAGGCGAUUUCCUCCCGCAAGACGGCGGGAGGGGGGAGAGAGAAGUCACCCCCCAGGACACCCACACCCACCCCUCUCUCUCUCGCAUCCAAACAAAGUCUGCAAGGCGCUCUCGGAUCAAUGAGACGGGGGAGAGUGGAAGGUGCUCGCUCCCAGAAGCAGGUCGUGCCAGCUGUGGGAACAGACGGGGCGGGGAGGCUGUCUUCUGCUUUCUUUUUUAGGAAGCGGGGGGCUCCCUUGUGCAAACGGGGCGGCUGUUCCGCAGGAGCCGCCGUCCGCUCUCAAGUUACUCAGAGGCACCUGAUCCAAAAACUUGACCCCCCCCCUUCUCCCCUAUGGACGGCUGGGUAGACGGAUGGCCCUUAACCGCCUGCCUGCCGUUUGUUUUCCGCACUGGAGCGCAGAGAAAGAAGAGGAGGAGGAGGAAGAAAAACGAGGCUUGUCUACCAGGAGAGGCGGGAAAGCAGCGGGAUGCCUGCCGUCUCCUCUCCCGAUCUUCCCCGCGGAAGGCAACAAAAGCCACGCAGCGGCCAGGCGACGCGAUCGCGGCUCUGCCAAAGCCAAACACUCGGCAGGCGGAUCGCCAAGACGGCGCACCUCGAGGGAGGGAGGGAGGGGCGGCGGCGCCCUCCUCCUCCUCCCAGCUUCCCGGAGACUGUCGCUCGCGAAAUUCAGCACCGAGGAGGCGCACGACCCGGGCACCCCCCUCCCUCCAAGAAGGCUCCUAGUCGGCGCGUCCCACCUCCCCGCCCCACCUCUCGGCGGAGCCCAUUGUUCAGGCGGGGAGAGGAGAAAGACCCCCGUCCAGGCGGGGGGCCGGGGACGCCCCCUCCCAUGGAGCCCAUAUCCCGGAGGGCAGCAGCAGCAGCAACAACCGGGAGGGCAGCCCCACCCCGCGCCCCUUCAUUAUGCCGUGUCUCCCACCCCACCCCCCCGGCGCCCGCCUUACCUCCAAAGCGUCGGCGAGCCACGAGGCCGCGAGCAGCAGCCCGGCUAAAUGCGGCAGCAUCGCGGUUGGCGGAGAAGGAGCGGAAGCUCCCGCUGGAGAAGGGAGAGCGGCGAAAUCCAGCCGGCGGCUCGGCUUCCUCGUCCCCGCCUCUGCGCUGCUGAGGAAUGGAAGGGAGCUGCAGCAGCGGCACCAGCCGAGCUCCGCCGAGGAAAAGGCGAGUCAGCUGAUGAUAUCCCAGCCCACCCAAAGCAGCGGCGGCGGCGGCAGCAGCAAGGCCGGCCCUCCGCAGAGACCCCUAGCGGAAGCGCCGCGCAACUACAACCGCCCUCCGCGCACGCACACAAACACACGCGCGCGCACCCCCGAGGCGCCUGCGAUAAUAAUGGGAGGAAGGAAGGAAGCCGAAGGAGGGGGCGCAGGAGCCCCGGUGGCCGUCUGAUGGCUGUCUGGGUGGGGCGGGAACGCCGAUAGGGCCGUUUCAUCCCUCGCUCUUCCUUGGUUAUUUUUUUUAAAACUAUUUUUAGAAGCCACGCCGCUUGUCUGUCGAUUCGCGUCCAGACCUGGCGUCUCUCCUGCCUUUUGCAGGUUACCAUGUGGUCUGUUUUCUUGUUGGACUUGGGGGGAGUAAGAUGCGGUUGAGGUAUGGUUACUGGCAAGCGCGGUAUAAAUCUUGGGAAAUAAAAAAAGGAAAUAAUGUAA